AACUGACCAAUCAUAAGGGAGUACAUCCGCGUAACUGCCUGCAUAGCAGGGGUGCACGUCAGGUCUGGAAGGGGUGUGCAUCGGGCCUCCGUGGAGCUACUUUAAAACUGACUA